rnacentral:rRNA from 1 species
AGUGAACGCUGGCGGCAGGCCUAACACAUGCAAGUCGAACGGCAACACAGUAUGAGCUUGUGCUUACGGGUGGAGGGUGGAGGACUGGUGCGGAAUAUAUCCGGAUCUACUGGUUAGUGGAGGAAAAGGUGGGGAAAUAUACCCUGAUACCUCAUACGGACUGCGGGGGAAAGAAGAGCAACGUCGGACCUUGCGCGAUUGAAUGAGCCGAUGUCGGAUUAGCUAGUUGGCGGGGUAAAGGCCUACCAAGGCGACGAUCCGUAGCUGGUCUGAGAGGACGAUCAGCCACACUGGGACUGAGACACGGUCCAGACUCCUACGGGAGGCAGCAGUGGGGAAUAUUGGACAAUGGGCGCAAGCCUGAUCCAGCAAUGCCGCGUGCGUGAAGAAGGCCUUCGGGUUGUAAAGCGCUUUUGGCAGGAAAGAAAAGCAGCACGUUAAUACCCCGCGGUAAUGACGGUACCUAAAGAAUAAGCACCGGCUAACUACGUG